rnacentral:lncRNA from 1 species
AGGUCUCCUUCUGCAGAUUCAGGUGCUGCAUAAAGAAGCCAAACAGUGAUGAUCAUCAUCACUACAUGUAACCCUUUUUGGUUUGCCAUUUCAGAGUUCUUUGAAAUGUGUGUUGUUGUUUUUGUUUUUAUGAGAUGAGUGAGUUCUCAUUUGGCUCUCUUGUAUAAAUAUGCUGAUAAAGAAUAGAGACGUAUAAGGAAGUAAAUUCCAGAGAUUUAUGUGUUUAGAGAUAUGUGUUGGUGUGUGAAAUGAA